UCCCUUGUAGCUUAGUUGGUAAAGAAUCCACUUACAAUGCAGGAGACCCAGGUUCGAUUCCUGGAUUGGGAA
rnacentral:tRNA from 1 species